ensembl:lncRNA LINC00635 long intergenic non-protein coding RNA 635
AGCAUAGCAACAGCAGCGUAGCUGAACAUCUUACGGAUGGCCCAGGGCUCCAAAGGCUCGUUUCCUAAGUGAGAGAGAGCCUGGCUGAAGCUGUAUUACCAUUCAUUCUCCAGCCUCCGAAGUCUCAAAGCAUCACUUCCACCAUACUCUAACUGUCAAGACAAACACAAAGGCCCAGAAACUGCCAGACUGUCUUCUGAAGUGGCUAUAAUAUUUACACUCCCAUCAGCAGUGUAGAAGGGGUCUCACUAUGUUGUCUGGAGUGCUGUGGUGGAGUGGAGUGGCUAUUCACAGGAUUCUUGGAAUGGACUGUAAAAGUCUGGAAUCAAGACUUUGUGUUUCCUCUCUAACAUGUAAAGAGCUUAGAAGUUGUCGCUAUUGCCCUUACAACAAAAUGAAGCUGGACAAACUGAAAAUCAAUGACUUUUCUUGGACUCACUAUACAGCUGAGUUUGCAGAGUAAACCACUACCCUGAAAUCUGGAAAGGCAGGUGCACCCACAGAUCCUCAGCUGAGAUCCAAUUACCUGAAAUAGAAGCUGCCAUUAGGAACACUUAAAAGAGCCUGUUCUGCUGGGACACAGAAUCACUUGCUCCAUCUCAUACAUUGAUGAUGAUUAAUUUGUAUGUGUACCUUCCAAAAAAGAUGGUUGUGUUUGAAUGGAGGCCUUCUGGACAGGAAAAUAUGGAGAGUGCGUGCUUUGGAUUCAAGACUGGGAAUGAGGGGACCAGAAACCUAUUCUGUGGCUGUUUCUUGUUAGGACUUUCCUAAGCCUCUGGAAAAGUGCAAAGUACAAUUAACAUUUGAGUCUGUCUGAGUCAUGAAGAAAUGGAGAUUACUGAAAAUAAUUCAUUUUGGUAUCUUCUUACAUCCUGAGAGACUAAUCUUUCCAAGUUCAUCUGAGGCUCCUCUUCUCCAUGACAACCUCAUCCAGGGAUUUCUUCCUGUCCUGGUGUUUUAUGACAUCAUCCUCAUCUCGCUUGUAAGGAUAAUAGCCUUCCUCCAAACCUCACACACUUUUGGAGGAGAUCACUUUUUUUAAAGUGCAUGGAAAUGUUUUGAAACAGUGAAAUCUAUAAUGAUAGGUUUCAUAAUUCUAACAUCCACACCAUAUGAAUCACAUCCUUCCUGAGAUAAUGAGCACACAAUUGCCUGGAUACCUGAAGGAAUGGAGACAGCGGCAGAAAACACUGCAGAGAGGUGGAAACAUCCGUUAAUAUUUUAAAAUCCCAUUACUGCUACCAACAAUAAUAAUGGAUGCAUAGAAAUAGAUCUGGAUUAGCUGAGCUUGAAACAGUCCAUCUCACACACACACAAAAGAAUUUCAGAUACAGUGAACCCACAUGUUGAAGCUUUCUAGUAUAAUAAAAAUUUCAACUGUUCUGUUGAAUCAUCUGCCUGAUUGGAGGCUACAGAAAAGAUGUCAUCUUAGGAGUGCUUGCUCUGAGUGAGGCUCAUCUUCAAAUCUGAAUGACCACAAGGAGAUUUGAUUAUACAUGUGAACACCUCAGAAGGCACAGCCCACCCAGAAGGCAGACAGGUCAGGCUGCUUUUUCUUCAUUGCUUGGAUUCAAUCCUCCGGGCGGCUCAGGCUCAAACAUAACUUAAGCAUGAUUAAACUUUAGAAGAAGCUGCCAGGAAGACUGUGAAAUCUUCAUGCCCAAGGAUCCCUAAAAUUAGGAGCAACAACCACUUGGCUCAGACGGUUUAUGGAGGCAAAGGUUUGGAUGGGAUUAGAGAUUUCUAAAUGUGAGUUCGUGUCCUCUGCCAGACCACCUUACUUCCACCAUUCCUCAGCAAAUCAAGAAAAACAGGAGAAAAGACAUGCCUUUCCAUAAGUUAAAUCUAUUCUGUUUUAAUUCUAUAUUAUAUCUGCUGUACAACUUCUUUUGUUUGUAACACCAUAUUGUUGCUAGUAACUGGAAAUUAAUUUUCACAUGCCUCAGCUUAGAAAAAUAAAAAGCAGCCCUGCAUCAAUCCCAA